rnacentral:tRNA from 1 species
UCGGAUAUGGUGUAAUGGCUAACAUUGCCGCCUUUCAUAGUAUUUGAUUGGGUUUCCGCGGCAGCUCGGGGUUCGAUUCCCCGUAUCCGAA